UACGUAGGGUGCGAGCGUUAAUCGGAAUUACUGGGCGUAAAGCGUGCGCAGGCGGUUUUGUAAGCCAGAUGUGAAAUCCCCGGGCUACACUGGGAAUGGCAUUCGGGACUGCAAGGCUUGGAGUGCGGCAGAGGAGACUGGAAUUCCUGGUGUAGCAGUGAAAUGCGUAGAUAUCAGGAGGAAUACCGAUGGCGAAGGCAGGUCUCUGGGCUGACACUGACGCUCAUGCACGAAAGCGUGGGGAGCAAACAGG
rnacentral:rRNA from 1 species